rnacentral:rRNA from 1 species
AGCGUCUGGAAAGGCGCGCGAUACAGGGUGACAGCCCCGUACACAAAAAUGCACAUGCUGUGAGCUCGAUGAGUAGGGCGGGACACGUGGUAUCCUGUCUGAAUAUGGGGGGACCAUCCUCCAAGGCUAAAUACUCCUGACUGACCGAUAGUGAACCAGUACCGUGAGGGAAAGGCGAAAAGAACCCCGGCGAGGGGAGUGAAAAAGAACCUGAAACCGUGUACGUACAAGCAGUGGGAGCCUCUUAAUGGGGUGACUGCGUACCUUUUGUAUAAUGGGUCAGCGACUUAUAUUCUGUAGCAAGGUUAACCGAAUAGGGGAGCCGAAGGGAAACCGAGUCUUAACUGGGCGCUAAGUUGCAGGGUAUAGACCCGAAACCCGGUGAUCUAGCCAUGGGCAGGUUGAAGGUUGGGUAACACUAACUGGAGGACCGAACCGACUAAUGUUGAAAAAUUAGCGGAUGACUUGUGGCUGGGGGUGAAAGGCCAAUCAAACCGGGAGAUAGCUGGUUCUCCCCGAAAGCUAUUUAGGUAGCGCCUCGUGAAUUCAUCUCCGGGGGUAGAGCACUGUUUCGGCAAGGGGGUCAUCCCGACUUACCAACCCGAUGCAAACUGCGAAUACCGGAGAAUGUUAUCACGGGAGACACACGGCGGGUGCUAACGUCCGUCGUGAAGAGGGAAACAACCCAGACCGCCAGCUAAGGUCCCAAAGUCAUGGUUAAGUGGGAAACGAUGUGGGAAGGCCCAGACAGCCAGGAUGUUGGCUUAGAAGCAGCCAUCAUUUAAAGAAAGCGUAAUAGCUCACUGGUCGAGUCGGCCUGCGCGGAAGAUGUAACGGGGCUAAACCAUGCACCGAAGCUGCGGCAGCGACACUAUGUGUUGUUGGGUAGGGGAGCGUUCUGUAAGCCUGUGAAGGUGGCCUGUGAGGGUUGCUGGAGGUAUCAGAAGUGCGAAUGCUGACAUAAGUAACGAUAAAGCGGGUGAAAAGCCCGCUCGCCGGAAGACCAAGGGUUCCUGUCCAACGUUAAUCGGGGCAGGGUGAGUCGACCCCUAAGGCGAGGCCGAAAGGCGUAGUCGAUGGGAAACAGGUUAAUAUUCCUGUACUUGGUGUUACUGCGAAGGGGGGACGGAGAAGGCUAUGUUGGCCGGGCGACGGUUGUCCCGGUUUAAGCGUGUAGGCUGGUUUUCCAGGCAAAUCCGGAAAACCAAGGCUGAGGCGUGAUGACGAGGCACUACGGUGCUGAAGCGACAAAUGCCCUGCUUCCAGGAAAAGCCUCUAAGCAUCAGGUAACAUCAAAUCGUACCCCAAACCGACACAGGUGGUCAGGUAGAGAAUACCAAGGCGCUUGAGAGAACUCGGGUGAAGGAACUAGGCAAAAUGGUGCCGUAACUUCGGGAGAAGGCACGCUGAUAUGUAGGUGAAGCGACUUGCUCGUGGAGCUGAAAUCAGUCGAAGAUACCAGCUGGCUGCAACUGUUUAUUAAAAACACAGCACUGUGCAAACACGAAAGUGGACGUAUACGGUGUGACGCCUGCCCGGUGCCGGAAG